rnacentral:misc_RNA from 1 species
GAUGAAGAACGCAGCGAAAUGCGAUACGUAAUGUGAAUUGCAAAUUCAGUGAAUCAUCGAGUCUUUGAACGCACAUUGCGCCCCCUGGCAUUCCGGGGGGCAUGCCUGUCCGAGCGUCAUUUCUGCCCUCCAGCCCGGCUGGGUGUUGGGCGCUGUCCCCCCGGGGACACGCCCCAAAGGCAGUGGCGGCGCCGCGUCGGGUCCUCGAGCGUAUGGGGCUUUGUCACCCGCUCGGGACGGACUCGUCGGCGCUGGUCUUCCUCCAGGCGACCCUUCGGGGCUCGUCUUCCUUCGGUUGACCUCGGAUCAGGUAGGGUUACCCGCUGAACUUAAGCAUAUCAAUAAGCGGAGGA